rnacentral:rRNA from 1 species
UCCCAGACUCCUACGGGAGGCAGCAGUGGGGGAUAUUGCACAAUGGGGGGAACCCUGAUGCAGCGACGCCGCGUGGGUGAAGGAGCGUUUCGGCGCGUAAAGCCCUAUCGGCAGGGAAGAAGGAGGACGGUACCUGACUAAGAAGCCCCGGCUAACUACGUGCCAGCAGCCGCGGGAAUACGUAGGGGGCAAGCGUUAUCCGGAUUUACUGGGUGUAAAGGGGGCGCAGACGGCAGCGCAAGCCAGGAGUGAAAGCCCGGGGCCCAACCCCGGGACUGCAUUGGAAACUGCGAGGCUGGAGUGUCGGAGAGGCAGGCGGAAUUCCUAGUGUAGCGGUGAAAUGCGCAGAUAUCAGGAAGAACACCGGUGGCGUAGGCGGCUUACUGGACGGCAACUGACGCUGAGGCUCGAAAGCGUGGGGAGCAAACAGGAUUAGAUACCCCUGUA